rnacentral:rRNA from 1 species
AGUGAACGCUGGCGGUAGGCCUAACACAUGCAAGUCGAACGGCAGCACAGUAAUAUCUUGCUCUUACGGGUGGCGAGUGGCGUACGGGUGAGGUAUACAUCGGAAUCUACUUUUUCGUGUGUGAUAACGUAGGGAAACUUACGCUAAUACCGCAUACGACCUACGUGUGAAAUCAUUUGAUCUUCUGACCUUUCGCGUUUUUAUUAGCCGAGGUCGGAUUAGCUUGUUGGCUGGGUAAAGGCCCACCAAGGCGACGAUCCGUAGCUGGUAUGAGAGGAUGAUCAGGCACACUGGAACGGAGAAACGGACAAGAAGACUACGGGAGGGAGCAGAGGGGAAUAUUGGACAAUGGGCGGAAGCCUGAUCAAGGAAUACCGAGUGGGUGAAGAAGGACUUCGGGUUGUAAAGCCCUUUUGUUGGGAAAGAAAAGAAGCAGGUUAAUACCCCGAUGUUAUGACGGUAACCAAAGAAUAAGCACCGGCUAACUUCGUG